AUUACCCAAUCCUGACACAGGGAGGUAGUGACAAGAAAUAACAAUACAGGGCUACUGUCUUGUAAUUGGAAUGAUGGUGACUUAAACCCUCACCAGAGUACCAAUUGGAGGGCAAGUCUGGUGCCAGCAGCCGCGGUAAUUCCAGCUCCAAUAGCGUAUAUUAAACUUGUUGCAGUUAAAAAGCUCGUAGUUGAAUUUCUGCGUUUGCGCUUGCGUUUUUUUAUUGGCUUGGCAUCUUCUGGAUUUGGUGCCUUCUUUCCAGGAUUUACUUUGAGAAAAUUAGAGUGUUUCAAGCAGGCUUUUGUCUUGAAUACUUCAGCAUGGAAUAAUAGAGUAGGACUUUGGUUCUAUUUUGUUGGUUAUUGAACCUGAGUAAUGGUUAAUAGGAACGGUUGGGGGCAUUCGUAUUUAA
rnacentral:rRNA from 1 species